AACUUUCGGCAAUGGAUCACUUGGCUCUCGCAUCGAUGAAGAACGCAGCGAAAUGCGAUAAGUAAUUUGAAUUGCAGAAUUUAGUGAAUCAUCGAAUCUUUGAACGCACCUUGCGCCCUUUGGCCAUUCAGAAGGGCAUGCCUGUUUGAGUAUCAUGAACACCUCAACUCUUUAUGUUUUUCCAUGAUGGGUUUGGACUUUGGGGGUUUUGCUGGCCUAUGGUCAGCUCCUCUAAAAUAAAUCAGCUUGCCAGUGUUUGGUGGGUAUCAUAGGUGUGAUAACUAUCUACGCUUGUGGUUCUUCCACCAGGUAACCUUCAGCAAUGGAGGUUCACUGGAGCUCAUAGACGUCUCUCCUCAGUGAGGACAGCCCUUUGAAUGUUUGAUCUCAAAUCAGGUAGGACUACCCGCUGAACUUAAGCAUAUCAAUAAGCGGAGGCU
rnacentral:misc_RNA from 1 species